rnacentral:rRNA from 1 species
GACGAACGCUGGCGGCGUGCCUAAUACAUGCCAGUUGAGCGCUGAAGGUUGGUACUUGUACCAACUGGAUGAGCAGCGAACGGGUGAGUAACGCGUGGGGAAUCUGCCUUUGAGCGGGGGACAACAUUUGGAAACGAAUGCUAAUACCGCAUAAAAACUUUAAACACAAGUUUUAAGUUUGAAAGAUGCAAUUGCAUCACUCAAAGAUGAUCCCGCGUUGUAUUAGCUAGUUGGUGAGGUAAAGGCUCACCAAGGCGAUGAUACAUAGCCGACCUGAGAGGGGGAUCGGCCACAUUGGGACUGAGACACGGCCCAAACUCCUACGGGAGGCAGCAGUAGGGAAUCUUCGGCAAUGGACGAAAGUCUGACCGAGCAACGCCGCGGGAGUGAAGAAGGGUGUCGGAUCGUAAAACUCGGUUGGUAGAGAAGAACGUUGGUGAGAGUGGAAAGCUCAUCAAGUGACGGUAACUACCCAGAAAGGGACGGCUAACUACGUG